rnacentral:lncRNA from 1 species
ACAACCCCCAAAUCUUGUUCUCGGGGGUCCAGGCCUUCUACUAUACCUGAGCCCCUGCCUAUCUCCUCAGGGUCCACUAACUAUGUCCAGGAGCCUUAGCUUCCCUCAGAUUCUCAUGUUCAAUUUUCCCUAGCUCAUUCUCCCAGGGAUUCCUCAAUGCCAGGUGGCAAAUGAUGCCCACCUCAGUCAUUCCUAUAUGCACAAGGUACCUCUGAAGAGAGGGAACAACAGGCAGACUCCCAAAUCUGUGCCGGUUAAGGAGUCUCUAAAAGGACAGAGUUCUUCAAAGGGGGCAGCGUGGAAAAUGGAAUUGAAAGGCGGUUGGUUCUCUUGGAUCCAGCAUCAACUUGCAAGGGGCAUUCUACAUACCGUAGAAAGGUGUAGAUGAAAUGACUUCUCUCAGUGGUACUCGGCACACACUUCUGAAACUUCUUGUUAAUGUGUUUUUUAUAACAAAAAUGGAAAAUGGAGUCAGACCUCAAGCUUAGAAAAAUGGCAAAUCCGUAGUUACCGUCUCAUCCGGGGUAUUUAACCUCAUGUGUGUCCCGUAUCACUUUUGGAAGUCUGAUGAAGCUUCUCUGAAUCAGAUUUGUUGCUUCGUUCAUAAUUAAAAGAAAUACUAGCUUUCUGCAAAUGGUUAGUGAAAAGAGAGGUAUCACCUUUCUCCAGCCAAGCUCAUUGAUUGACCCUCUGAAGCUUAACCACAGACUUUGUCCACGGACUCCAGUUCAGUGGCAAGACUGGAUGAACGGUGAUGGCCCAGAAAGGUGGAUGAACUCGACAUCUUCAAUGUCUGACCAAACCCUAAGUGCUCCACAGUUCCUGCUUCAGCCACCUUCAUGGUCAUCGUAAUAAAUUAUUCCCAUCUGCCCAUUCUGCUGAAAGAAGUCUCCCCAUCAUCCCUUGAACUCUCGUGUGUCAGCUACCCUCAACAUAGUUCAGCUCAUAUGCCAAGAUCACUUUACCCAGGUGCAGCCACCGCCCAAGAUACAGAGACAGGAACCACAGCUACAGAAAUUCAUGAAAACCAACUAUCAAAGACUAAGAUUUUUGCUGGUAAAGGAAUCACUAAUCCUGGAGGCAUCGUAGACUCUGGAGGGAUUGAAAUGAACUGAGGCAAACAGGGUUACCUGACUUGCCCAGAGUCACAGCAAGUAAGUGCCGGAGGCCAAAUUUGCACUUAGAUCUUAGGAAAACUCCAGGUCAGUGCUCUAUCCAUUGUGUACAUUUUAAAAAUUAAUAUUCAAUACUCCAAGUAUUAUAUUUAAUAAUAUUUAACGUGAAGCAAAGGGAAAGUAAAAGGCUAGAGAAACUGAGAGGGCUCACCAGCCUCCCACAUGGAAAAAGAGAAUGAAAGGGAGGAGCUACCUCAACUAUACACAAACAGCACAUGGAUUGGUGCAUGUACAUGAAAGGGAAAAGGGAAUUUGGGGAUAAGGAAAGAAGGCUGGGAGAUGAAAUCCACAGGAUACAAAAUUUCCACUUAUAUACCUGCAUUGCCUAAACUGACACAAAGUACCCAUGUGUGUAUGUGUGUGUGUGUGGUGUGUCCUCAUUUUUAAGAUGAAAUGAAGCAAACAAGGUUAAGUGACUUGCCCAGGGUCACACAGAUACUAAGUACCUGGGGCUGGAUUUGAUCUUAGGUCUUCCUGACUCCCAGACAGGUCCAGGCUCUAUCCAAUGCACCCCCUAACUACCACACACACACACACACACACACACACACACACACACACACACACAUAUAAACAAGCUAGCAUUUAUGCAGCAUUUUAAGUUUUGCAAAGUGCUUUUAAAAUAUCUCAUUUGAGACUCACAACAAUUCUUUAAAAAAAAAUUUUUUUUAAACCUUUACCUUCUAUCUUGGAGCCAAUAUACAGUAUUGGCUCCAAGGCAGAAGAGCAAUAAGGGCUAGGCAAUGGGGGUUAAGUGACUUGCCCAGGGUCACACAGCUAGGAAGUAUCUGAGGCCACAUUUGAACCUAGGACCUCCUGUCUCUAGGCCUGGCUCUCAAUCCACUGAGCCACCCAGCUGCCCCCGACUCAGAACAAUUCUAAGAAGUCGGUGCUAUUAUUAUCCCCAUUCCCUAUAUUAUGUGAGGCAAAUGGAAAUUUAGUGAUUCCAAGUUCACAUAGCGAGUAAAUAUGUUAGGCUGGAUUUGAACCCAUGUCUUCAUGGCUCCAAGUCUGGUGCUCUAUCCUGUAAAAAUUAAAUUAUAUCUCUAAUGAUAAAAAAUUAUUUUAUGAGGUUUAUUAAAGAUCAUUAGAAAUCAAGGAAUAAAGAGGAUACAAAAUAAAGUUGUGCCCA